GGAGGAGAGACGCUGAGCUGGAGCAGCUUUCACACACACAAGAUCACAUCCAGUUCCUGCAGAGUUUCCAGUCUCUCACAGCACCUCCUGAGUCUACAGACAGUGGAAAUGGAAAUGACAAUCCUUCCAGUUCCCUCUUCUCUUUUGAUGGCCUGAGAGAAUCUGUCCGUCAGCUGAGAGACAAACUGCAGGAUUUCUGCAAAGAAGAGAUUAAAAAGAUCUCUGACAGAGUCACAUUCACCAACACUUCCCAAAACCAAAAAACAACU